CCCUUUUUAUAUACAGUCUGUGGUUUAAGAGCCUGCUGUUUCCUCUCUGCUGCUGACGCACUGCGGGGUCGCUAACCCUAAUGUAACACUGCUGCUUUUAAUGUAAAUUUUCGUAAGUUAGAAAGUUUUCCGACGUGUGAAACGCCGAGGGUUGCUGCGCCUCUUACUUCAACAAGCUAAAACCUCCGGAUACCUCUGUGUAAGCGCUGUGCACUGAAUAAAGGAAAUGUAGCAGUGCCGGUACAUCUGUCCAACUCUCCAAACUGGGGUUGUGCUGGCCACCAUCUGCUGCAGUUUCAAAUGGUGACUGGAGGGAAAAGGCUUCAGAUUUCAUUAUGUACUUAUGUUGUACAUACAGAGAGAGAAUGAAGAAGGCACCGGGACAAUAAGAUGGAAUCAGGGAGCUGUUGUGAAGCACAGUGCCCAAAGAGGGCAGAGGAACCUGAGCUGCCUUUUCACCGUGUGGACCCUACGACCAGUGUCCCCUCGCGGGAAUGAAAGAGGAGAGACAGAUGAAAGCAGCAAAGAGGGGACGACUCCCCUGAUCCCCUCCUGUCUUCUCCAUCACCCACACGGAGGAAAAUUUAAUAAAGUCCACAUACCAAGAGCCACACAAGAGAGA